UACGUAGGGACCAAGCGUUGUCCGGAAUCAUUGGGCGUAAAGAGCGUGUAGGCGGCUUGUUAAGUCUUGCGUGAAAUCUCGGGGCUCAACCCCGAGCGGUCGUGAGAAACUGGCAGGCUAGAGUGCGGGAGAGGAGAGUGGAAUUCCUGGUGUAGCGGUGAAAUGCGCAGAUAUCAGGAAGAACACCCGUGGCGAAGGCGGCUCUCUGGAAUGCAACUGACGCUGAGACGCGAAAGCGUGGGGAGCAAACAGG
rnacentral:rRNA from 1 species